UUGCACACUUUGAUCCCUUUUAGGACCUCUCCAUCCAUUUUGAGCUGUUCUGAUCCCAUUUUGGGACACUUUGAUCCCAUUUUGGGACACUUUGAUCCCAUUUUGGGUUUUCUGAUCCCAUUUUGGGACACUUUGAUCCCUUUUUGGGACACUUUGAUCCCUUUUUGGGACAAUUCUGUCCCUUUUUAGGUUUUCUUAUCCCAUUUUGGGACAUUUCCACCCAUUUUUGGGUUUUCCGAUCCCUUUUAGGACCCUCCCCACCCAUUUUUGGGAUUUCCAAUCCCAUUUUGCUCCAACCCCACCCAUUUUUAGGUCCCUUUUUCCCAGAAAUUUCCAUUUUUUCACCAUUUUUUUUCCCAUUUCUCCAUCACUGUUUAUUUCCAUCUCCCCCUCCCCAGCUCAGGGGGUCUCUCCCUGGGUCUGGGGUCUCUCCCAGAGGGCCCUGAUGGCCGCAGCCCCCCCCUCCCAGCGCNNNNNNNNNNNNNNNNNNNNCUCGGCCGAGGCGUUUCCGGAACUUUCUGGCGAAGGCGGCGCCGCGGGCCCGGAGCUCGGCCGCCCGAGCCCGGAGCUCUGAGUGCAGCCCCCGGAACUCCUGCACGAUGGUUCUGGGGAGAAAAACCAGAAAUUUGGGUCAUUUCCCAAAAAAAAUGGGGAUUUUCGGGGAAAAAACCUGAAUUUUGGGUCAUUUUCUGGGGGAAAAAUGGGAUUUUUGGGGGAAAUAAAGAGAAUUUUGGGGAUUUUGGAAUGGCCCAGGUGUCUCCUGCAGCUCCUGGGGAGAAAAACCAGGAUUUUGGUCAAUUUGGGGAAAAAAAUGGGAAUUUUUUGGGGAAAAAUGAGAUUUUUAGGGGGAAAAAAUGAGAAUUUUCAAGGAUUUUCCCUCCCAAUUUUCAGUAUUUUUCACCCCUUUUCCCCCCCCAUUUUUGAAGGUUUUCCCCCAUUUUUUUCUAUUUUUUCCCCUCAUUUUUGGCUGUUUUCCCACCAAUUCUUGAGACAUUUUUUCCCCUAUUUUUCCCCAUUUUUUCCUAUUUUUUCCCCCAAAUUUUCACCGUUUCCCCCCAAUUUUUUUUUUAUUUUCCCCCCCCUACUUUUUUUCCCUUUCGUUCCCCCCCCCUACCCCUUUUAGGUUUUGGUUUUCCCCCGUUUA
rnacentral:lncRNA from 1 species